UAGUUGAACUCCGAACCAUUACCCACAAGACCCCAAAAUCAGUUUUCAAGAUAGAAAGAGGAAAACUUCAUUCCAUUCUUUGAUGAUAGCAUCUUAGAGGGUAAGUCCCCACCUUUAUUUAUUCCUUUUCCUUUCGUCUUCAAGUUCCAUGAUUAUUUUAAGGUCUAUCAAUGAUGGGUGAAAAUCCUAGAACCCUAGAAUUAGUAAACCCUUAAAUAAUUGGUGGGUUGUUAAUUAAUCAUCUAGAAGUAUAGAUUAUCACUUUCUAGGAAGGGAAUUUGAUUUCUUAUGGUUGAAAUUGCAUGUUGAGACUUAGGGUUCUAAUAAAAAUGCAAAUAUUGUCCUAAAAUCUGUUUGAAGGGGUAAAUUGAUUAGAAUCCCACGAAUUGAAGGUUAAUGAUUGUAGAGAUAGAAGUUAUGAUAAAUUCACCAUUAAAAGAUGGUUUCAUCCAUUAAAAAGGGUAGAAGUAAGUGGGUCGUCUUCCCUAAAUUGUUGUUCUUGUUUAAAUACAUGGUUUGUUGCUUACUUAGCAUCAUAUUGUUAGACUUUGACCGUUCUGAGGUGCUUCAAAUAGAAGGCUUGUGUGGAGUAGUUCGUGGCUCCUGUUCUGCAUUCGAGACUAGCAAGUUUGGAUAAAUAAGCGUAGCUAAUAGGACGUGGAGCAGGUACACCCAGAUGAAUAGAAGACUUUCUAGAAGGUGUUCCAGCGGAAAUGGCAAGCUCCAUCUGCUCCUGGAGUGUUGCCGAGUCAGAGUAUAUGUGCUAUGAUUUCUGAUUGAUGUUAGAGACUUUGCAGACAGAGUCGUGGGUAUAGAAUGUCAGUUUUGUAAGCGGCUCCAUCAGCCGAUGUGUCAUUCUGUGUUAUGUGAUACAUUCCAUAUGAUUACAAAUUUUGUUUGAUUUGAGAACAACGAAAAAGAAUAUUUCUGAAAGUUGUACUAUGUAUUUCAUCAUUAUUUGAUUUAA